CAAUUUCGCUGUACAAUAAUACAAUAAAUAGGCCAAUGUAAUCCUUGUUGAUUGCUUUUGCAGAGUCCUUGUGGUGCCACGGGAAGGCGACCGUAUGAUCCUAAGAGGUGCAGAACACAAAACAACCGGAAAAUAGCAGGGAACUUUUCUAACUCAAGCCCACCGUAGAUGGUUCAAUGACGUUAUACCUUACCUGCUAUCAUUGAACUCCUGAAUUGGAGCAUCAACAACAGACACAGCAAGAGUCGGCAGUCUAAAAAAAUCUAAGCAUUGCACUCUGAAACAAGCAAACUUAGAGACUAGUCAUCUUCCAAUCCAUAUUGUACUUAUCACUUAAUUUCAAUGUGUUUAAGGAUUUGUUUACCACUUGUAUCAUGUUUAUUUCUACCAUAAACAAUAUAUUUUAUAAUGAAUUGUGCUUAUCAGGAAUCUUCUAGAACCUGUCUAAUUUAACACUUUAUCAGUAUAAAGAUAAUUUGGAAAAUGUAAACUAAUGUGAAUUGAUAUUAAAACUUAUUUAUUAUGAUAGUAAUAAUUAAUAUUACUUUUGUUAUAAUUGUUUUUAUUGAUUUCAUCUCAUUUUAAUUAGACUGAUCUUACCAAAACAUAAAGACAACUUACAACCUAAGGAAGGCUCUGCAACCAAACUCCAACCCAUGGGGUAUCAUAAGCUAUUAUUUGUUAAGACAUAAUACCACAAUAAUUUACUCAUUUCAGUUAUAAAAAUGCAAAUAAACAUAAAUCCCUGUGUACCAUAAGUUAAAAAUCAUCAGGAAAAUGACUAUAGAUCAAAAAGUGAUACUGUAAUCUCUGACCCAGCCAACUGCAUAGUUACCAACCGUCUCGCAUCGUGUGGGACGGUCCUGCAUUUCAAAGUGAUGUUGGAUGAAAUAUGCAUUUUGCAGAAAAGUUCCCUGCAGAAACACAUGGGAUCCUAAAUUUGUUACGCAUUUAACACAAGUCUAUGCUUGAUAACGAUUUAUCACAAAUUCAGGGGAAAAUGUAUUUAAAAUUAGAAGAAAUUGGUUGUAUUAGAACUAUAAAAACGACGAUGUAGUAACUUGAAGGCCCUACUUAUUUCACUAACAAGUUACUAAAAAUUUAUCAGUUAAUGAAAUGUUUUUGUAGGUCUACAUAGUUCGGGUGCUCAAAGUAAACAUAGGCCUACAUUGAA